rnacentral:miRNA from 1 species
UGCAUCCAACAUGUGGCACUGA